CACGUAGGGCGCAAGCGUUGUCCGGAAUUAUUGGGCGUAAAGAGCUCGUAGGCGGUCUGUUGCGUCCGCUGUGAAAACUCGGGGCUUAACCCCGAGCCUGCAGUGGAUACGGGCAGACUAGAGGUAGGUAGGGGAGAAUGGAAUUCCCGGUGUAGCGGUGAAAUGCGCAGAUAUCGGGCGGAACACCGGUGGCGAAGGCGGUUCUCUGGGCAUUAACUGACGCUGAGGAGCGAAAGCAUGGGGAGCGAACAGG
rnacentral:rRNA from 1 species